GGAUCCAGACUUUGAUUAUGGCUCAGGAUGAACGCUAGCUACAGGCUUAACACAUGCAAGUCGAGGGGCAGCAUGUCGGUUGCUUGCAACCGACGAUGGCGACCGGCGCACGGGUGAGUAACGCGUAUCCAACCUACCCUUGUCCAUCGGAUAACCCGUCGAAAGGCGGCCUAACACGAUAUGCGGUUCACCGCAGGCAUCUAACGUGAACGAAAUGUGAAGGAGAAGGAUGGGGAUGCGUCUGAUUAGCUUGUUGGCGGGGUAACGGCCCACCAAGGCGACGAUCAGUAGGGGUUCUGAGAGGAAGGUCCCCCACAUUAGAACUGAGACACGGUCCAAACUCCUACGGGAGGCAGCAGUGAGGAAUAUUGGUCAAUGGACGAGAGUCUGAACCAGCCAAGUAGCGUGCAGGAUGACGGCCCUAUGGGUUGUAAACUGCUUUUAUAGGGGGAUAAAGUGUGCCACGUGUGGCAUAUUGCAGGUACCCUAUGAAUAAGGACCGGCUAAUUCCGUGCCAGCAGCCGCGGUAAUACGGAAGGUCCGGGCGUUAUCCGGAUUUAUUGGGUUUAAAGGGAGCGUAGGCCGUCUUAUAAGCGUGUUGUGAAAUGUCGGGGCUCAACCUGGGCAUUGCAGCGCGAACUGUGAGACUUGAGUGCGCAGGAAGUAGGCGGAAUUCGUCGUGUAGCGGUGAAAUGCUUAGAUAUGACGAAGAACUCCGAUUGCGAAGGCAGCCUGCUGUAGCGCAACUGACGCUGAAGCUCGAAAGCGUGGGUAUCGAACAGGAUUAGAUACCCUGGUAGUCCACGCGGUAAACGAUGGAUGCUCGCUGUUUGCGUCUGACGUAAGCGGCCAAGCGAAAGCGUUAAGCAUCCCACCUGGGGGGUACGCCGGCAACGGUGCAACUCAAAUGAAUUGACGG
rnacentral:rRNA from 1 species